AGUGAACGCUGGCGGUAGGCCUAACACAUGCAAGUCGAACGGCAGCACAGAGGAGCUUGCUCCUUGGGUGGCGAGUGGCGGACGGGUGAGGAAUACAUCGGAAUCUACUCUGUCGUGGGGGAUAACGUAGGGAAACUUACGCUAAUACCGCAUACGACCUACGGGUGAAAGCAGGGGAUCUUCGGACCUUGCGCGAUUGAAUGAGCCGAUGUCGGAUUAGCGAGUUGGCGGGGUAAAGGCCCACCAAGGCGACGAUCCGUAGAUGGUCUGAGAGGAUGAUCAGCCACACUGGAACUGAGACACGGUCCAGACUCCUACGGGAGGCAGCAGUGGGGAAUAUUGGACAAUGGGCGCAAGCCUGAUCCAGCCAUACCGCGUGGGUGAAGAAGGCCUUCGGGUUGUAAAGCCCUUUUGUUGGGAAAGAAAUCCAUCUGGUUAAUACCCGGGUGGGAUGACGGUACCCAAAGAAUAAGCACCGGCUAACUUCGUGCCAGCCGCCGCAGUAA
rnacentral:rRNA from 1 species